GGGCGCUGAGACGUGUCUCCCGUGGCUCUCGCCAUGGGGACUCCUGAGUGGCCUGCCUGCCUGCCUACCCCGCUCUCUGUCUGUCUGCCUGUCUGUCUGUCUGUCUGUCUGUCUGCCCACCAUGGGCGGCCAGCAUGUGGGGUCCUGCGCAUCCCUGAAACUCCUUUACCUGCAGCAGGUUCAGGAACUCGAAAGUCUCCAUCUCAAACCCGAAAGAUCCGUCCACCAGCAACAGCACCAGAUCUGCGUAUUUAGCAGCGUCCUGGCAGCAAGGGCAUGGGCAUGGGCAGCGCCCAUGGCAAGGGAGAAGAGGUAGAGGUGGGUGUGCGCGGUGCAGUGCAGCGGCCGACCGGGAUUGCGUGAACGCAAGGGAGGCUCUGGGAGGCAGGCCUUGCAUGGGGUUGCGCGGUGCAGGUAUGGAAAGACGGGACGUUAAAAGGACGGGCCGGCUUCAUGUUUCCCUGCACUUACUUCGAUACUUACUUCGGCCGCUCUUCACUGAAUUGCUUACUCCAUCUAAUCCGUGUAGCUAGCUUGCCGAGCUUGCUUUUGUCCUGUAAGUAUACUUUGUCCUGUAAGUAUACCAUGCUGCAAACACUACAUCCCCCUGCCCCCCUCCCUCCGCCUGGCAGCAGCUUCAAUCGUGUGUGGUUCGUCUUUCCCUCCCUCCGCCCGUGUGUUCCUGCUUUCCCAUCCUCCCAUCAACCCCGUCCAUCUCACGCCACUUCGACACGGCAUCUUUGCGGCAAGCUCCCCAUGCAUCCCUGCCGAUCCGUGUUAGCAGCCUCGGUUUCCUUGCGCUGGCUGGGACUUCGUUUGCCGUCCAUAUUCCAUGCAUUGCAGUACAGAACAACCCUGCGCUUUGCUUAGUUAACUGAAAUCGACUGACUCAAGGUAUCUUCCACGGCUGUUGCACGCGUCCCUGUGCUUCACCCACCGGCUGCAUACAAAAAUACUACAAAAACACCGAUAUCAGCGUACACGGAGCCUCGUCACAUCAACAUACUGUUUCGGCUUCGGCCCCCGGCUCUCGCGGCCCACAGUGUAAUCUAAGUCAUACUGUUAACUUAUUGAUACAUCCACACUUAGUAGGCAUGCGUUUGUCAUGGCUCAUAGGGGAGCCAUGUUGGCAAGUCCCCCCUGUUGGCACCAGCAGUGCUAGUCCGGUCUUAUUAGUCGUAGCCGAGCUUGCUGAUGUGUUGUGCGUGCCUAUUACCGCGACAGGCGAUGUGCCCUUUGGCUCGGUUUCUUUGCUUUACAGUGUAAAAACUUGGUAGCCCGCUGUAACAACAACAACGACAACAACAUCCGCACUGAUCAGACAUAACUUUUUUUACUUUGCUAGCGCCCAUGCCCUUCAAAUCACUUACUCCCCAACUUCACCGCAGCACCAUCACUUCAUGCAGAGAAACACACGCGAAUCGGCGCGCACAGGUCGCCACUCACCAUCAUGCCGCACAAGUCCGACGGGCAUUCUACUAGCGUGAUGCGGCGCUUCUUGCCCGCUACCACGGUGAUAGGCCCGCGCACGUCCGACAGAUUUUGCCGCGUGUAGUGCUUCACAAGGCAGCGGAUGAGCGUUGACUUGCCCACCUGUCACAAGGCCCGUGGACCAGGGCCCCCCGUCAAUGGCAAUCGACGAGGCGGAGGGACUGAGGCUAACCCGCGGAAGAACACAGGUCCCAAGACACAGCUCAAUAAAAGAGUAGGCUCCUCAAUACGCGGUUACGAACAUAACAAAAGUCAAGCAACAUUUCCUGCAGUGGAAAAGUAGGAGUACCUAGUCAGACGGAUUGCUGCAAAUGAUGCAUAUGGCGUUGGAGUUGGGGAACACAGAUGACUGUGCUCAUGGGGCCGGCGCGCCGGUGGGGGGCGGGUUUGAUAACUCAUCCAGAGCGGUUAGUUAGCACGUCGAAAAGCAUUAGCGAAACCUCAUGGCCUGCCGUAUCACAACCAGCAUUUUGUUCCACGAUGAGUAAAUCUUUUGGACAGGUUGUGCCCAGCAGCACAACGCGUUUGGUGCGCAUGCCGCCCUCCAUGCUAUUUCCGCGUUCGGUGCCGCGGAGGGCUUUCAAUACAGCCCUUCCCUUGCCAAACCCUUGCGAGACCAUGCCGAAAAACGCUGCCACCAGCCAACGGCUUCACUGCAGAUAGCCAGAUGCUUCACUUACCCCUGGAGGACCCUGGACCAAUACCACGAAGGGGGGCGGCUCCUCUGCUGCCUUGUCCAGGAGGGGGGCUAGGUGCCGCGGCAGCAGAGGGCACAUUAGCAGGGUGUUGAGUCAGGGACAGGAAGGGGAAUCAGAAGCAGGUUAGAUGAAAAGAUAGUCGCGGUUAUUCGGCACACCCAGUUGCCGCCUCAGAGACGCUCACCUCGGAACCCCAGUCCUGCCCGGGAACCUAUCGAUAUCCAUUUUGCCCCCCAAGGACCACAUAGGCGCUUUCCCCCUGGCCUCCCCGCUUGAGCUUGAUCGUUCCCGCAUAACAUGCCGCCUUGCGCCUUACCGUGUAAUCGACGCUGCUCCCUCUCCGCACUGCGCGCUUGCUGGGCUUUGGCCUUGUUUGCAGACUGGAAGGCGAACGCCUUGGGGUUUUGCUUCCGCUGUUCAUCCGUGACACCCCGCUUCUUUUUGUCAGCUGCUUUCCGCUUCUCCGCCUUCUUGCCGGUUUUCGACUUCCGAUGCUCCUUGCCGGCCAUCGCGAUAGCGAAACUCUUCAGCUAGCUUAGCUAGAGCCUCGCACAAAUAUUCCGUUCAACGUAGCGUAGGUGGCUUCUUAAGCCAAAUAAGCACGCACCGCCGCCGACAGUAAUCGGCGGCCCACGGUCCUCUACGGUCAGCCUAGUACUGUGAGCCUUCGUUGAUACUAUGCGUGCUGCAAAUCCUUAAAACCUAGGAAAACCUAAGGGGGAGUCCGCGAUAUGAGUGAAUAGACAACACGUUAUCGUUACAAGACAACACCCAAGACCCAAUGGGUGUUGCCGAAAUAUAGUAACAAGAUGUGGUUGCAAAAUUUACACUAAGCAAUUAUAAAUUGUCUCUAAUUGCCAACAAGGUAAGUCCGUAUAAUGAUGCACCGAGUUGUAACAUGAUUCAACAUAUUAAUUUGGAGCAAAAUAACCAAGUGAGGAUAAUCAAUCUGUGACGUGCGAUGAAAGGAUGACCGCAUCUCAGCAUGCAGUGACGGGAUGUUGUACGCGCGGCAUGCAUAGCAUGAGGAAAACAAGCGGGAGCCCAGGCCUAAUGGACUGACUUUCUUUAUGCUGUGUCACGGCCUUAUGACGUCUAACGUUUCUUGGACAAUAUGGGAUAGUUCCAAUCUUUCCUCAGUACAAGGUCAGGUCUUAGCUCUAAACAAGGUCUUGUCUUUUCUUAGGGUGUACGCCUGGAAAAGCCCUUUGCUCAUGUGCUUAAUGAAAGCCUUUCCCUUGUGAGGCACUGUUUGGCCAUCUUCGGAGGUCAGCUGUGGGGCCAAGGGCCAGGCAGCCUCAAUAGACCAUGCACAUCAAACAGGUCCGAUUGGACGCACAUAGCGUAUGAUCGUACUCAAAGCAUUUUUGGAGCUGUACGUGUUAUACCGGAUGCGGCGGCUGUCGCUGUCAACUGUCGUUACAGGUCCUCAUUGAGGGCUUUAAAAGCUACAAGGACCAGACGCACACGGAGGAUUUUGAUCCCAAAAUUAAUGUAGUUGGUAAGUAGCUCUCCAGGGCCUUGUAAACACCGUAGAAGCCGUGACAUAUGUCAAACCAGCUGUUUUUCCUUAUGGCUGACUGCAGUGGGCGCAAAUGGCUCGGGAAAGUCCAACUUUUUCCACGGUAUGCUGAGGGGUAGGGCUGAGGAAAGGCCCAAGUGCUCAAAGGGCGGGGGCGAGGUUUCGUGUUAUAUUUGGGGACGAGCAGCUUGGGCCUUGGUAACAUGGGCAUGGGCAUGUGCAGAGGCCGGGAACACGAGGACCUGCGCUACUUGCCUCCCUCCGUCCGUCCCUCUAAUGCGCAAACGGCCGCUUCAUACGUAUUAACUUGUACUAAUACCCGCCUUUGCAACCAAUGUCAUGCAGCGAUUCGGUUCGUCCUUAACGAUGCAUUUAUCAACAUGCGAGGGGACGAGCGGCUCCAGCUGUUACACGUGAGUUGCCUACCACAUACCCUCGCAAAAAAUGUAGUCACAUGCUGGGCCUGGACUCAAUGCAGCGCGUCGGCUGACACGAUACGACCGGAGGAGCUGCAUGAAUUGAUUUGAUUAAUGUUUCGUGAACCGACUUACAUUUCAGCAAUGCAUAUGUACACAAAGUUUCAUGACCCCCACAUCGAUCUGGGUCAACGCGGGAUCCCAUGUCAUGUACACCAAGCACGAACGGCGCUUGCCUUGCUAUUUUGAACAUUGCUGCAGGAGGGUGCUGGACAUCGAAUGUCCAGCGCUUGGGUGGAACUCGUGUUCGACAACUCAGACGGGCGCUUUCCGGUGAGUUUCGUUGCGCGCUAUGAGUCUAAGCCCCGUGCGAGUAGUUGAGCGUGAGGGGGACAGGGCGCAGUGUGUUGACGCGCCGUGAGUGCUGGCACGUGGUAUUCUCGCGUUGAACUGGGUUCACGGGUUCAGUGUUACCGUCCAUCCUCUCGCUUAGCAGGCUCCGCGCCGAACACCCAUGGGGGUGAACGCAGAAUUACCCUGCCAGGCUAUACUAUUGAGGCAUCUUCCUGUUUCUAUCAAAGAGACGGCGGGUGCGUCAUCACGUGACUACGACUUGCGUAACUCAUCGGCCUUUUAUCGCUGCAUGCUUUCCUCCCAACUACCGGGUUGGAUCAAUUUAGAUUGACCGCAGUGAGAUCCGAUUGCGGCGUACAAUUACUGCUAAAAAGGACGACUACACACUGGACAAAAAACACAUCAAGUAAGUGGGGAACUGACGGGGGGGAGUGCCGCGCUGACUGUUUCUUUGGGCCUUAUGUGGGGUUCUUCAUAAGGCCCUGGUUUGCAUGAACCACAUCAGGGCUGCAAAGCCAGUAACAUGAGCCCUCGGAUGUGUUUGACCGGGUUGUAUGGAGGUUGGGCAGCAAACUAAGCAGCGCCUGAGGCGCCAUCGUGCGACCGUUUCUGGGGUAUAAUGGCCAGCCAGGGAUGCAGACAGAGCCUGUGGGGGCCAGAGUCUGUCACGGGCUCGGCAACGCGGUGCAGGUGGCUGCCCGCCUCACAAAACAAGCAGGCGUGUGCUGCAUUUGUUGCGAUUUGCUGCUGUCUGUUACACCUGCUGAGAAGCUGGGCCUUAUGGCAUACGCACCCGCAGCAAGUCCGAGGUGAGCAAUCUCCUGGAGAGCGCCGGGUUCAGCAAGAGCAACCCAUAUUACAUCGUGCAGCAGGUAAUUGGCUGCGGGUGGUUCGGGGGAUAAUGACUCUCGUAUUACACGGACGGCUGUGCUGUGUCGCGCUGUGUAGAUUUACUGUACGAUUGUAGCGCACUAUUAUUACAUAGCGCAACACAGCCCUUUUUACUGUUUCUUGAGUUAAAUAAACGAAGGCCUGGUACACGUUGUGCUCAUGCGGCUCUCUACCAUCCACAGCAGCUCGGCCAAGGUGUCCUCCUCUCCUCGCGCUGAUCCCUGGCUCGGGGCCCUGGGGCCGCGCAUUUCGGAAACGUUGGAACGUCUAGGCCGCUUAGCUGCUGGGACAAGCUGCAGUACCUCCAUGUUUUUUGCUAUGGGUCCUCCCCUUCGCAGGGCAAGAUCACUGCCAUGGCCGCCAUGUCGGACGCGCAGCGUAUGGAGCUUCUCAAGGAGAUUGGAGGUGCUCGCGUGUACGAGGAGCGGCGCAAGGAGAGCCUGCUGAUUUUGCAAGAGACGGACAGCCGCGGGCAACAGAUCAAGAGCACGGUAAGGCAACUCCCAUGACGCACGGCAUGGAUUCCAGGAUUAUAGCCGUUUUGAACGUUGACAGCUCGUGGUUGGUUCCGGAGGCAAGGCAGGACGAUAUAUAUUGCAACUGAGCCUGAGCCAGGUAUUUGUUUCUGAUUUGGGCUGUUCUGGGGAACGGGCGACAUUGUGACAACCGACGUGACGCGGUGAUGUGUGAAGAUAGGCGCUCGCGGCAGCACCCGUCUAAGGGGCACAGAGCUUACAAACACUGCUUGCGCACCCUGGAGGACGUCGCACGUGCAAGAGAUGGGGGGUCUCCCACUACAAAGGGCUACAGCAGCUAUCAAUCGCUGUCCAUACUUCCUAUAUGCCGCCUCCUCCGCAUGCUCCUUCUCAUCCCAGCUUUCGGAGCUCGAGGACAAGUUGAAGGAGCUGGACACAGAGCGCGCCGAGUUGUUGGAGUUCCAGCAGCUGGACCGCCGGCGGCGCUGCUUGCAGUACACCCUGUACGACAAGGAGCUGACUAAGGCGCAUGCUGAUCUUGAAAAGGUGGGAUGGCUAACCUAAUUUGGUGAGCUAAGGCGUGCUGCGGCCCAGCAGGUGGAGUCCAUCAUGGACCAGGACAACGAUGUUGCAUUUGAAGAUUGCAGCACAGAUUGACUUCAAGGGAUUUGAAGUCAAGAGGUUAAUGUGGCAAUACCUGUCUAGGUUGACUUUGUGUGGUCGGUCCGUGUCUCAGCUGACACUCAGGUGCACACGUCGCCUUCCCAACAACGCGGUGUACCUCGAAGGGCCUGAACAUCCUGAGACGAGUACAAUCGCAAUGCGUUGUCCAUGGCGCAAGGAAACCAUGGUUCAACUGUAUGAAAACCCAGCCGUAGCCCACGUUUGUUUUUGGGACUUUCGUUCGUGGCUUCCACUCCAUUCUUUGGACUGGCUGGGUCAUCAUCUUCCAUUCCUGGCUUGACAGCAUAGCCAGCCUGGUUGAUUGUUUUUUGUCGACAUGCGCUGUCCACCGCUGUAUGCGUCGCAUGCUCACAUCUCAUAUUGCUGUAUGAGAUGCGACCCAGUUCGGACCGCCUGCUGCUGCAUCUGACCCGCAGUUGGAGCGGGAGGCCAGUCGCCUACGGGAGACGGUCGGUGCUGUGUCCGAUGACCAGGGCCGGCACUCCGCAGAGCUCAAGGACCUGGAGCGCCAGAUCCGUGCGCUGGAGGCGGAGUUUGGCGUGGCCGGGAACCAGGCGAAGGAGCUGCAGGUGAGGGCGGCGCGGUGUUUCCUUCUCAGGCGGUUCUUGUCUGCACCUCCCCACAGCCUGAAACGCGAGUCCUUUUGGAUAUAUCCCGUGUUUUAAACAACAUUCUCAGGACACAUAUGUCCGCAACAGCAAGCACAAGGUUGCGUCCUCUUGCAAUUGCGUCCUCUUGCAAACAACGUAAUUUCGUCGCGCGUGCUCGUCGUGUCGUUGUGGUCAGGCUCGCAAGCAGGAGCUGACGGCGCAGCGCUCGCGUGCGGAAGUGGAGAUGGACGAUCUGGGGCGGCGAAUUAGUCGCGCCGAGGUGUUGGCGGGCAGCGCACGAAAGGAGCUGGAAACGUUGCGGGCCAGCGUGGCGGAUGAGCAUGGCAAAAUGGAGAAGGUAUUAUGCUCGUGCUGCGGGGUAUGGCAGGGGUCGCCCGUAGGUCCCGGCGAAGGCACAGCAGGGUUGUUUAUGGUGUGUGGAGAAUCGAUACCUGAGUCCCGUUUGCAUUGUCCUCGUUUCGUUUCCAGAUUUCCAUCCCGUUCCCUUGCCUGUGCUUCCUUACAUCCGGAUUGCUCCGUGUCACGUGCAGCUGCGCGAGGCAGCUGCCAAUGCUGAGUCAGCCCACGCUGCUCUGCUGGCUCGCAUCACGGAGGCGGAGUCCCGGCUGGCAGCGCUCUACCGAAAGCAGGGGGCAAGCAGCCAGUACAAGUCAAGGGAGGAACGUGACGCUGCGCUGAGAAAGGAGGUGCGCAUGAGGCUCGGAAUCCCCUUCCUUUGCUCCAUUUGCCCCCAUUUCCUGCGCUGUUAGCGACGUCCUGCGACUGACGCAGCGAACACCCGUAAUGGCUCUCGGAGUCAAAAAAGCUCGGUUUGCUUCGGCUCGGCCUCGUUACGUUCUAGUUAUCAGGUUGCGUUGCCACUGACCGGCAGUGUUACCCGCUGCCAUCCAUGGUCUCCGGAGCCAUAAAAUCCCAUAAACCAUUCCCGUCGCGCGGUCGCCAACGUUAUCCCUCCCACCUGUGACCACAUCCUACACGGUGACUUACCACGACUACAUUCCAACCCACUCCUACCCUCAACACCCGGAUCCUCCUGCCCCCCUGUUCUAGAUUGCGGCCAAGGAGUCCAUGCUGGCCUCCAAGCGCCAGGGCCGCGACCGCCAGCAAGCUGAGAACCAGCAGCACAACGAGCUGCUUAUGGAGCUCAGUCAAACCAUCGGGGACCUGGACGGUGGGUGGUUGUGCGGGCUGGGGGAACGAAGCUGCUGGGGCAACAGGAAAAAGGGGCAACUGGAAAGGGGCAACAGGAAAGGAGGCGGUGCGGGCGGCGAAUGGGAUCUGCAGCGGGAGGGAUCUGGCGUGGCUUGUACAAUACGGUCUGGCGCCUUGUGGCGGUGAAUGAGAGCGGGCAGCACCGGGUGGGGAUUCGUGGGCGAUUUGUGCGUGGAGGGGGAGUUGGAGAAAAGCUGCGGGUAUUGGAUUGCGAUAGGUGUCCCUGGAGUUGGAGUUCAGGUUGGGUUUGGGCGAGCGAGGGUGUGGGGUGUCGCGUAAAGACCCUUGGCGCGUACUCUUAGUGACAGCGCAGGGUACUGACUCUGGGCAGCGUCCGUUGAGUUUUUUGGGAAUCUUUGCAAGGUUUCCAAUAGCGCCUGAGGGAUAAAUGCAAAGGUACUGCCAAACCAGCGUAUGUAGCACCGCCCCGUGAACAGAUAGGACGGGAGCGAUGGUGCCCAUGGCCUGUCAUGGCGUCUAUGGUUUUUUGGCUUGAGAUUUAAUUCAGUCGUCGCUUUCCUUCUAUUUUGUCGUACCGUGAGCUUGCACGACGGCGCCUAUACCUAUUCGGGGCCUGCACAUCCAACAUCUCAUUGCACACCUCGUGACGCCCUGCAGCGGAGGUCCAAACUUUGGAGGCCCGAGUGGUGGAGGCGGACAAGCAGUACGCGGAGGCGUCGGCAGCCCGCGCCAAGCUGCAUGACGACCGGAAGGCCAAGCAACGUGAGGAGGAGUUUGCGGAGAGGGCGGUCCGCGCUGCCGUGGACAACGCCAAGGCCAUGCAGCAGGUGUGCUGCGCUGCACUGCGGGGAUGCGGGGGAUACAGUUAAUGCCGGAAUGCGGGGAAUACAGUUAAUGCCGGGAUGCGGGGAAUACAGUUAACUGUAACAAGGGGUUCCCCCCGGGUGGGCGUGUAGCUUGUGUGGAGUGCACCAACCAGGUGGUAUUCACAUGACUCUUAUAGCAGCUAGCUAGCUCUGUAGCGGUAGUCUGCACCGGAGGUUCGGUUGUACGGGUAGUUAUGCACCGACAGUCUGUCCUGUUUCGAGCCUUCGACCUGACUGUGCUAUCUUACUUUUCCCAAGGGGAGCUAUGCAUCAAGGAUACUGGUACGAGAAGGUGCGGUAUGGGGAGUGUUCUGGACGGUGGAAGGACGGCAAAGGCAACGGACUGACAGUCCGAAGCUGAUGAAGUGGGUUCGCGACCACCGCCUCGCUCUUGCAUCGCUCCAACAGCAAUUGGAGCAACGGAAAAAUAUAUAGCUGUUGUAACAGCUUUACAGAUAUGUUAUAUAUUGCCUUAACAAGAUUUUUUUUUUGCAAUGGUGCCAAUAACUUUCCACUUGUCGGCCCCCUCCGACCUUCCGCCUUCCGUCGCCACCUUGCAGUCGUACGACAAGUGCAUGCCGGGAGACGUGCGAAAGGGCAUGCAGGGUCUGGACACGCUCCGGCGGCAGUUCGGAGCGGACAUGCAGGGCGUGCACGGCGCAGUCAUUGAGCACAUCCGGACGCACGAGACCUUCCACGUCGCCAUCGACACGAUUGCAGGUGGUAUGGGACUGGAUGGGUGAGGACUGGGGUAAGGACACAGAUUCAUGCUGGAGUUGAAAGGCGGGGGCCUUGAUAAUAUAAUGAUAAUAUAGUACCUGAGUUGCUGCUGCCCAGCUGCCUUGCUCAGAAGAGAUGUGGAAGAAACUAGGGAAAGGCUUACACGUCCUCUUGGACCUUGCACCAUUUAAACUUGUGGUGGAGUUACCGGGAGUCGGAAUGUCCUGCUGGUCCAUCCUGCACGCAUUCACGGCACAGGAGGGAGGGGCCAUUGCUCCGUCCCGGCCUGCACUUCUGCGGACUGCCGGCUUGGCAGGGGGCUGUCUUGCUGGUCCCGCCUUUCGCCCCGUGAUCAAUCGUUGCCUGCCGCACCUGCGACCCUCAGGCAAUCACUUGUUCGACGUGCUGGUUGAGAGCGACGAGGUGGCGGCUCGGCUGAUACGGCAGCUGCACGAGCGAAACUUGGGCCGGGCCACUUUUGUGCCGCUCAACAGGGUGGGCACGCUGCCCGACAUUGAACCUCCCAGCCAGUAAGCAGUUUUUUUCCUGGUUUCAGCUGAGGGCGUUCAGGGUACGGUACCUUCUCUUAGUGCAGGUUCUCCGCUCACUUGGCCACCACUGCGUAAAUUAUUUUCCAACCAAUGUCCAAAUGGUGCCUCUAUCCGCGGCGGCAAACUCGAAUAUGGCCAACUAAUUAUUUUCACGGGUUCUUUCACUAUUGUCGUUGUGCCACCCGCCGUCGCCGCCGCCACUGGGUCAAUGCAGAUUCGGCACGGACGUGGUGCCCAUGCUGCGCAAGAUUCAAACCGAUCCGAGGUUUCGCCCCGCCAUGAAGGACAUGUUCGGCCAGGCGCUGCUCUGCAAGGACAAGAACGUGGCCACUGAGGUGCGUAGGGCAGGGGUGGUCGGAAUCAGAUGCCGCACGAUAGAUGGCGACCUCCUGCAUUCAUUUCCCCUUUGCUUGGAUUUUCGGCUUAAUCCUUUUUAGUGUUAUUGCCUCGCAAAACAAGCACCCACGUCCUUGUGGCCCGCUGGCAGUGCAUUCUGACAACGCGCGGCUGAUCCUCAUCCUUGACCCGCAGGUUUGCCGCUCGACAGACAAGUUUGACUGUGUCACGCUGGACGGCGAGAAGUUCGGGCGGCGGGGCAACAUCAGCGGCGGCUACCUGCCACAGAACCGUGCGCGGCUGGCAGUGUUCAACGCGCUGAUUGCGGCACGGCGGGAGGUGCGCACGAAACCGAUCGGCGGCAGCUCCCCCGCUCAACUUUGCCAUGCUUUGCCCAUGUCAUGGAUGUCCAUGCCAAGAUGAGCACCGUCUGAUAUGUUCUUGACUUUAGGGCCAUGGGAACUCCGUGCCUACUGUGCCUAUUGCGCCUGCGGUCCCAUCUGACUGGCGCGCGGUUUCCGCCUCGCCUCGCUUCGCCAUCGCAACUAGCCUAACCACAGAAACCUUGCACAGUACCAGAUGAAUACUCCUCUACCAGUAACGCCUGCAUCCUCCCUGAUAGUCCGGUUACCCGCGCGGAAGCUGGGACCCCGUACCGCCCUCCCGGCGAUACACUCUUUCCCUGCCCUUUCAACUCCUGAGUUUCUUUUCACCGCGCGGGGCCCCGCGCCGGUGUGUGUGUGUGUGUGUCUUGGCGGCAGGUGACCCAGCUGCAGCAGAAGCAAAAGGAGGUCAGCGAUGCGGCGGUGGCCCUGAGUGAGGCGUUCGAGGCCGCCGCUCGCAAGGUGGAGGAGCUGGAGGUAAAGCGGCGUAAGCUGCGGGACGAGGCCCGCAGCCGCAAAGUGGAUCUCAAGGUCCGGCGUGACGAGGAGGUGGAGAUACGGCGCCAGGUGGAGGCACACGAGCGCACGUUGGCGACGUACGAGGCGGACAUUGGGCGAAUACAGGUGAGGCAGGCGGGGACCAGGAGGCGGGGGUGAGGUUUGGGCAUGACUGCCGGCGGUAUCGCAGGGUGUAGAGGCCUACGCGCGGAAGGCGUGAUGUUGUGGGUGGUAAGGGUAACAUAUCCUUGACACACGGCAGCUCGAGUGGCAAGUAGGCGGGGGCGUGUGUGGCAGGUGUGCGAAGCCGGGAUGGAAAAGCCGACAGCGCGCUGGCGCGCGUUGUUUGACGGCUGGUCCUGGCUGAGAGGAUGUGCGUCAAAAGGACAUCGCGCGGCGUAUAUUCGAUGUGCCAAAAAAUGGUCCUUGGCUGAUUAGACUAAUUGAACAUGCGGGAUUCGACCCGGUGCCCCAGCGCGUGGGACUACGUGGCGAGCCCAAAGUUUUCUGCGAUUAUACAUCGAUUAUACAUUCAAUCUUCACUUUAGGAUUUUGCCUUCUUAGGACCCAUGCCCAUCCAACCCUUUCCCUUCCCCCUCGUCCAGGCCGACUUACAAACUCUACGCAGGGAGCUGGGGACCGAGAUGACGUCCAGACUGACCGCCGCGGAGCAGAGCGAGAUGACGUACGUUGGGGUGUUGUAGGGAGAAGACACGCAGGAAAGGUUAUUCUUUUCACACAACCAUCCAGGCCACGAUCACACCAAUUCCGGCGCGAGGCGACGCAGCAUGCGGCCAUGUCGUGUCUGCCCUUUCGUGACGCCUUCUUGGUGACGCCUUCGCGUCACGGCCCAAUCCCGCCUGCGCCAGCCUUGACACUUGACACAUUGGAUUCCCCGCGGUUCGAGAGCGCUACGCGGGGAUGAUGGCCUGCUGUUGCAUGCCCCUGAAGAGGCUCGAUCUUGGCCCACACUCCUUCGCUACAAGUUACACACACUAAUGGGGGGAAGGGGAGGGCGUCCGUAAAGCCAACGUGUGAUCUUUUUACCUUCCUGGGCUCGUGCCACUCCCUGCCUGCUGCAGGGGUCUGAACAUGUCUCUCCAGCAACUCCGAGACCAGCUGCGGCGAGCUGCCGAGAGCCGAGACCAGGCGCUGGCCGUUGUCGAGGCCGCGGAGGCCUACCUCAACGGCGUGCUCCUGCGCAACGUGGCCCAGUACGAGGAGGCGCUCACUACGGACGACGCGGUGAACGACAAGUGAGACGAUGAGACGCAGGGCUCCGUCUGCUGUGGUGCGGGGCUCUUGGGGGGAAUUGAAAAGGGUCGGAAGCGGCGUAGGCUUGUUAAUGUGGGCAUAUCGGCAGGAACAAAGGGAUUACCUGUCCUUGGGGCCCGUGCGGUGCUCACCGGGGCGCGCGAUCAGUUACCUUCUGCAGAAGUGCAAAAUUGUUAUCCAUAUGCACAUCAAGCAUGCGUACCUAUCAGGACAGACAGCUGGUUUUGCCGUGUGCAGUGCGGCGCAGCGCUUACAAGGUGAAAAUGCAAAAGGUGUUAACGUUUUGCCGUUGCUGCAGUGGCGCUCGCCAUGCCAUUCAUGCAGGGUGCUUAUCCGCCCGGCCUUGUUUAGCUCGUUAUUGCCGCCCGGUCUGUUUACCUCACAGGGCUACCCUGGCCCUACGCCAGGGGGACCUAGCCGCUCUGCAGCGGUCGCUGGAGGAGACGUCUCGCGCGGCUGCGGAGGCAGAGAAGCACGCGGUCUCGCUGGGCAGGCAGCUGGACCAACUGAAGCGCAAGCGGGAGGAGCUAAAGGACACGGCAGGAAAACAGGAGGCGGCAGGUAGGCGGGGCGGGGCGGGACGGGGCGGGACAGAUUGAUUAGGAUAUGGUCCAGGAAAUCGGUCACCAGUUACCCGGCCAGCUUGCAUUGCUGUAAAGCCGGAAGCUCGCCCUCCAGAAAAGAAGGUCCAAAGCAUGCACGCAAAUUUGCAACCUGUUUCGGAGCUCCCUAGUGCCGGCUGUGGGAAUUACAACGAACGCUAUUGCCGCUGUCCUCCGUGCUCUCAUGCGGCAUUUAUACCGUCAACCGACCCCACUCACGCACGCCGUUCCCGUGUGCAUCGACCUUUUCACCCGCCACAGCCGCCGACAGUGCCAAGGCUCUAGAGGCCCUAGGCAACAAGCGGACGACGCUGCAGGGCCGCGCGACCGACUUGGACCGCAAGAUCAGGGACCUGGGCUCACUGCCCCAGGACGCCUUUGAUAAAGCCUACCGAGACCGCAGCACCAAAGUAGGUGGGGAGGAGCACGAGUGCCGGGACGUGGGCGGGUGCGGGUGCGGAAGUCCUGGGGCGGCGAAGGAUGGGAAAGAAAGCGCUGAUGAAGUCGGACCAUCAUGCCUUGUUACUCUCACCUUGGCAUCUUUGAACUGCAAUUCUUAACGUGGGGUAUUCCCCGUCUGUAAUUUUAAACGCGGUACAUUCUUCGGGACUAUUUGUCCGUUAUUACCCUUCGAGCUAGUGACUCGAGGCCGAGGUAGCACGAGUUGACCGCCGUAUCGCCACUGUUAAGGCCUUUCGUACCUAGGGUUUUAACCAGUAGCUGCUGUGGCCAAACAAGGCCAGUAGAGCGAAGUAGAGCAUGGUUCCUUUCCACCGCAUGGAGCCCUCGCACUGCCGUGCGGCAAUUCCUUGGCCCUGGAUGCUCCACCACCUGUGCAGGAGCUAAUGCGCGCCCUGGAGGAGGUGGCUGCUUCCCUGGAGCGAUUCGCCGGAGUGAACCGCAAGGCACUGGAUCAGUACGUGGACUUCUCCAAUCAACGAGAGGAGUUGGCGACCAGGCUCAAGGAGCAGGUAGACAACGCGUGCACGUGGCCACAGGCGGAUGGGAGGGGAUGCCCAGUAAUGAAGGGAAGACGGUCUAGCAGGAGGCACACUCAGCACGAGCCGGCGUCAGUCGCGUUCUGAAUUACGCGAAACGCAAGACGCAGCAGCCAGGCAUCGGCAAUCUACCGGGGUUGACAGCCAUUUUCUUCCAUUCCAUUUCCUUUCUGCCAUUUGUGUCCAUUUCAUUGCCUGAUUGUUGCGUAUGGCAUAUAGGUUCCAGUUCCACUGCAUAGGUUCCACUGGUCCAUGUGGUAGUGGUCGUUUCGGGGUGCGGUCACAGGUGCAUGGUCAUCGUGCGUCUGUAUCUGGGCAGUUGGAUGAGGGCAUCAGUUACUGUUCUUGUGCUGGCACAGUGGAGGGGAGGUCGGAGCUUCGUGCUAGGCGCUUGCCUUACGUCGGUCAUCUGUGCACCGAACUACUACUAGGUCAAACGCCUUCAGCGCUGCUGUGCCACCACCGCCCUGAACCCAUACAUAGCUUUCAGCUUUUACAUCCUGAACGCCAAAAAAACAUCCCCCGCAGCAAGCUGCUAAGGACAAGAUCAAGGAGCUCAUUACUUCUCUGGACAUGCGCAAGGACGAAGCCAUAGAGCGAACCUUCAAGGGCGUCGCCAAGAAUUUCCGGGAGGUGUUCGCCGCACUGGUACCAGGUAAAUUCAAUAGGCUAGGGUUGGCUAAGAGUUCUCAAUUCGAGUGUAGGUCGUAACGACUUGCCGGAUAAUGACUAGUUGAUCGGUACGUCGUGAACAGUGAACUGCCUUGCGGGGCUUUCCUGCGGCAUGUCGCUGGGACGACACGGCCUGGCGGUGUUUUUUCGGCAUGUCCACGCUGGGAGUAAACGACCUGGUUCGCCUACCUCAUUUACCGAGUUGAAAGUUUCAAGUCUUGCUGCCAUCCCACCUGCGAUCUGUUUGUGCCCAGAUGUCACCAACUCGGGCAGUCAAUUCGGGGCCCUCUGCAUUCGGCUCUCGAGGCGGAGCCACUUCACACUACACCAGCGCUGCCUGUACACUUCCGCUCCCGAACAUCUACAUUUCCACCGUAAUAUUUUUGAACCAUUUCUGUGUCCGUCGCCAUGCAGGCGGGUCUGGUGAGCUCGUGAUGAUACGGGCGGCGGGCCGGGGUGCUGCUGGGGACGGAGACGAGGAGGAUGGAGGCGGGACGGGUGCAACCACGACGACGGAGAAGUACAGUGGUGUCAAGGUCAAAGUGCGGUUUGCUGGCACCGGCGAGGCGGUGAGCACAUGAGGGGGCGAAAAUACACCGAAAUGGCUUUGCUGGCGACAGCUCAUGUGGGAUGGGUCAGCCAUUGGAGAUGCGUGAUGAAGGCCGCGUCGCCCUUUUAGGGUGGAAGCUUGCCUUUUGGCGCGGCGCGGCGCGACUCACACAAACACUCUUUUAGCCGCUCUUCAUUCUGUCCUGCUGGCUUCCUAUUGCCUUAGUUUAUUGUGGGCCUAUCUUGCUGAAGCCAUGGCCGUUUUGAACUGGAGGAGAGGUCGCCACAGAAGUCAUUCCGCGUCCGUCCACUUUUUACAACCCAAGGGCUCCAUCGAGCAGGUGGAUGGCAGUUGCCCUCCAGUCACCUCCAUUUCCACCCUUGUUUGCAGGUCUCCAUGCGGGCGCUAUCUGGCGGUCAGAAGACGCUAGUGGCCCUGGCCCUCAUCUUCGCCAUCCAGCGCUGCGACCCUGCUCCCUUCUACCUCUUUGAUGAAAUUGACGCGGCGCUGGACCCGCAAUACCGCACCACGGUGGCCGCCAUGCUGCGUCGCCAGGCUCACGACCCGAUCAACCCGGCGCAGUUCAUCGUGACCACCUUCCACCCGCAAAUCGUCACAGAGGCGGACCGGCUGUUUGGAGUGGCGCACACCAACCGCAUCUCCCGGGUCUACGCCAUCAACCGGGAGGACGCACUGCAGUUCUUACAGGUGGGGGGCUGCGCGGCGGAUGUGUGCGUGGGGGGAGGGUGCUGUGCCGUAAUGGGGAUUGGGCCUUAAUGGACGUGGGUUAUGCAUUGCUCGCUUUUAAAGUCAGCUGCCACAAGGUGCGCAUCGCGCAUCAUUUUGACUUAGUGGGCUGACUGCCUUCGCCUCAGCUGGUACACAAUUGCAGGUGCUGCUUGUUUCUGUUUAUACUCCAUACUUAAUCCAUAGUCACUUUAGAGAUUGCGAAGCACGGCUCCUUCAUGGUGCAAACCUCAGGCGGCGGAGGACGACGAGCGUGCCGGCGAAAGGGACACGGGUGAAGCGAGCGCAGAGGGAUCGGGAGCGAGACGCGCAGCCAGGGCGUCUGGUGCGAAGCGAGCCGGCGGCGGCCGCAGCGGCCAACAAGGGGCCGCUGGCGGCGGCGGUCGUACCACGCGUGUUGACAAGUCGCCGGCAGCCGGACGGCAACGUAAGCGUGGAGCCGUGCAUGCGGAUGAGGAAGACGAGGAGGCGGAGAGCGAGAGUCUUGAUGGAAGCGGCGAUGAGCAAGAUGGAGAAGGUGAAGGAAUGGACGAGGAUUGAUUGAUUCCCCAAGGCGCGGCUGCCUUUCUGAAAGCGUUCAGGGAGGAAGGCCGUGCAGGUGUCGCGUUCGGAUUUCGGAUAGGAUUUAUAAAAAUAAACACCUCGGACCAGGCUAAAUGACGAAACGGUCUGAUUUGAGCGGACUACGAGAUGAGGAUGACGUACACAAGACGGCGGACCUCCGCAUGGACCUUUAUUGAGAUCCGUACCUCUUGCUGUGGCCCGCUGAAGGGUUAGAAGGCUUUCCUCUAUCGCAAUGGCGGGACUUCUAAUGGUUUUGCAGGUCGUUUUCUGUGACGAUUGGUUAACGAAGAGUGGCAUUGCGAAAAUUGGUGUUGUGCUCGACUGCUUCCAGUUGCAUGUGCACGGCUGGGACUGGAUGUCAGGUUGUGUGCCAUCCUUUGUUAAUAUUGCGUUGGUCCUUGAAUGAUAGCAUGAAGCAUAUGCAAUAAGUUGCAGCAAUAGAGCAAAAUUUACACCGGAAGCUGCGGUGCUUACUGCUGGCCGCACCGCUGCGCUGCUGCUGAAACUUUCCUCCAAUGAACGAUAGCUUUUGGUGCAAUCCAGGGUUCCGGGCAGACCAGGACCACGGUUUAAUUCCCCCGACGCGGAUAUCCGCAACGUGGAGAACGCUCGAAAGGUUUUAAAGGGAUUCCCAAUCAUGGAAGUUCAUGCACGCUCGGUACGACCCCUCGGUACGACCCCUCAGUACGGCUCGUCAGUACGGCGGUCCCUAAGUACACUCCUGCUCAUCGGCAUACACACAGACACACACUCGACGGUCUCGAAGCAACCCCACCAGAAGGGCGCUCAGCUCCAAGAUGGCUCCAGCCUUCCCCUGCUUCCGUACUGCUGUCCAUACAUUAAAACCAAUACCAAGGUCAAUAUACACUUUUAAACGACAAUAUCAACAACAACAAGAACAACAACAACAACGACGACAACAGCAACAACCAGAAACGCUCAAUCGUCAAACACGCACUCUCUCUCCCCCUCUCUCACCUCUCUCCCUCUCGCACGUCGCCACUGCCUCCCAUCCCACAUGCAUCGCGUAUUGGAGUUUGUUGCAUUCUCAGCAGGCAGCGCAACCGGAGGUGUAACACACACGCACACACACACACACAUGCGCUCAUAUCUUGCAUCAGUACUCUCACGCUAAUGCUGCCGCCAUCGACACCAUCGCCGCUGCCACACUCUCAACUCCCCCCCAGCAGUAACCGGCUGCUCACAGUCCAGCAGCCGGAGAUAGCUCCAGGAGGAGGAGCACACAACUCCCUGCCGCCAGCCCCUCUCACCUAAGAGGCCAAUACGAUAUGCCCUCCUAUCCUUUGAUACACGUGGCACACCUGCACGGAUAAGUGCUGCCUGUGCCACUGCAUGUGGGCAGCAGGCCUCGAGGGUGGAGGCCGCCUUCAAUAGCGAGUUUCUCCCUCCCUCCCCUUUUCCCCUUCCCUCCCCUCCCCUCCAGGGAGGACCCCAGACUUGGCAGGAUCAUAGCAAGCUCCGCUCCGCUCCAAUCAACCAGGGAACAAUAAUAAAACCUAAAUCGUAUAAAAGCCCUUCAAUGUGCAAAAUCAAUUUUCAGUAAUGAACUGAACUACUUCCACACUUGCAGCUGGUAAACCGGACACCCGACCCCUUCAUCCGGCGCUCCCUCCUGCUCUCCUUUCUCUAGCUCCCUAUCGCUACACGGUCACAUGAAACCCUAACUACACCAGCAGCAGCAGAUUAAGGGCAGUCCCAUAAGAAACCACCCCGGCUCCGAAACCCCCGCCGCGUCGUACGCCGUCUCCCAUUAUCGUGACUCCACAGUCACGACGAUGGUCUCCGGGUCUGAAGGAAACGGCACGGCAGCUACGGCCGGCGCCGGCGCCGGCGCCGGCGAAGAAGAAGUCGCCAGCGGUUCAGUGGAUGUUGCUGCAUCUGCCACCGCCGCAGCCGCCACUGGCGGCGGCGGCGGUGGCGCCGGCGCCGGGGCCUGUAGCGGCAGCUGCGUCGCCGCUGCUGCCACCGUUUGCAGUAUGCGGCUCCUCACGGGCUGCCAGAAGGGGAACAGGGUGUCUGGCGCCACACCCAGACGGGCCGCCUGUUGGCCCGCCAGCUGAUCUACAAUGUCGACAGCCACCUCCGUCGCCACCUGCAAUCUGCUACUGCUACUGCUACUGCCGUCACCCGCCACGUUGGACAGUACGGCAGCCAAUUCACGAACUUGGUCGGGUGGACUGGAUGCGAGCUGCAGUACGGACUGCAAGGUGGGGGACUCCAGGGUGGCUGACUCCACACCUACGUACGGCAUAUUUGGUACGGCGGACAGCAGAAUCGAAUCGUCAUGACACAUGAAAUCAGGAGGUGGUUGGGAACAGGGUAAUUGGGGGAAAAGACGAACCACGAGCGAGUGAAGCUGAUGCUAAGGAAAGACUGACACGGCAGAUGUAAUUGGGGGGACGAGAGCAUUAGUGGGAUUACUUUUAAAUGCUUUGGAAAGGAAGGGGUGUUGCCCGCGUGUAGCUCCCAAAGGGACGUCGUGGUCUUCGCACAUGAGAGGUAGAGGAUGUCCCGAAAGUGGUGAACAGGAGGAGCAUAGUGGACAGCAGCAGCGGGAGGAGGAGGAGGAGGAGGAGGAGGGAGGAAGGUAAGGUCAGGGGGAAUGCCCCUGGGUUGAUGAUGGCACACACUGUAGCAUCACACUUCUUUACACGGCUUUAAUUCCUUUGGCAAGAAGAUAGAAUCCGAGCUGUCUCGCACAUCAUAUUCCUCUUCAUGCAAUAAAAAUAGCUCAGAAAACGUUAACGGAUAAGACGACGGUAGGCGGACGAUCUUUUUGGAUGGCAGGAAGGGGGAAGGGAAUAAAUACAUCACACAUGAAAAGAACAUUUUCUUAAACAGUCAUUAACAGUCCACCCUCUUCCCCCCCUCCCAAUAACCUCCUCCCGACCCCUCACUCACCCAGUACGCCAGCCGCAAGCUCCGUCAACUGCUGGAGGUACACCUGUACGACAAAACCAAGUACGACACAGAGUGGCAUACUGAAAAAACGAAGUACGUCUGCGAAAAAAACUGUGUCAAGGCCCGAGUUGAGCCCCUGCGCAAGCCCCGACUGACCAGGACAGAAUGAGAACCAACCAGAGAGAGAGAGCGAGGGAGCGAGAGCGAGGCGAAUUCGGAGCUGUUGGUAGGUGAGAGUCACAAACCCUAAACCCAUUUCCCCUCCCCCGGGCCCCUACCUGCUCCCCGGGCUCCAGGGGGGGCGCCAGCAGGUCCACCACCUGCGACACGGCCACCAGGCCCCGCCCCGGCACGUAGAGCGGCGGCGGGGGGGGCGCGGGAAGCGACCCCAGGAAGGGCAGCCGCGGGGUCAGUGUGGCUGUCGCCAGGUUGAAGGCCUUACGUAAUCGGUCUCGGAGCAGCAGGUCCAGUCCUCCCACCACCCAGCCCGUCAGCAGGGGCCGCAGCUCCCGGGCCUCCGCGGAGAGGAGGAAGGAGGCCAGCUCCUGUACGGCAGGGUUGAAGGGGGGUUGAAGGGGGGUGAAGGGGGGUUUGUAGAGGAAAAAGAGAGAGGGAGGGGGAAUCAUAUAAUAAUAACAAUGUGAUGAUGAUGAUGAUGAUGAUGAUGGUGCACAAGAGCCGAAGGGGAACCAACCGCCAACGACAUCACGUGCCAAUCUGCAGAGGGAGUAAGAACUGCGGGGGUGAGGGCGAUGAGGGAGGGGGGAAGCGGGGCACUCACACACGUACUCAUACACACAUACAUACAGACAUACACAUAUACGCGGAAAUCCACACACGCACAGGUAUUCACGAAACGACCGCCCUUCUAAUCUCUCUCCCCAACACACAGACCCCCACACCCACGCACCCACCGACCUGCACACUCGCCCCCUCCGCCGGCAGCGCAUCAAAGUCCACAAAGCCCUGGCUGCUAUCCGCCACAUAGCCCAGGGCCGCAUUGAGGAGGGCGGCCAGACGGCGAGCUGCCAGCUGACUACCCACCUGAGGUGGGGGGUGGGGGGUGGGGGGUGGGGGAAAGGGGGUGAAAGGCGGACGCAGAGGAGGCCAGCUGAUACCAGAGAUAGACGGAGGAGGGGGGGGAUGGGCGCCAAGGAAGGUGGAGGCAGGCUGAUGGCGGGCGGACAUUUGAGGAGGCGGGGAGAGGAUAGGUUGAGCGGGUGCUACGUUUUGCGCGCGCGCGCGCGCGUGUGUGUGUGUCUGUGUGUGUGUGUGUCUGUGUGCGUGUGUGUGUGUCUGUGUGCGUGUGUGUGUGUGUGUGUCUGUGUGUGUGUGUGUGUCUGUGUGUGUGUGUCUGUGUGUGUGUGUCUGUGUGUAUGUGUCUGUGUGUGUAUGUCUGUGUGUGUAUGUCUGUGUGCGUUUUCCUGCACUGGGAAACGAAACACCCCCCAGCCCCCCACCCCCCAGCCCCCCACCCCCCAGCCCCCCACCCCCCAGCCCCCCACCCCCCAGCCCCCCCACCCCGCCACCCACCUCAGCUCCCGGGGUGGCCACCUCCCGAAUGAGAAGCAGGUCUCGGAGCAAGGCCGAGGCGGUGGAUGAGUCAUUUCGAAGAACCUGCGUGCGCGUACAAAUAUACAAACAUACGGACAUACAUACGGACAUACAUGUGUAAGUGUAUGUGUGCAUGGGGUAGCCACCCCACUUGGUUGUCGUGGACUUGGAGAGCAACGUUGGCCGAACCGAACAGCCUAGGAAGCAAGCGUGCGUGCGUGUGGGUGUAUGUGUCUGUAGCUUCCGGGUGUGUGUGGGGGUUGGAGGGGGGUGUACGUGUAUACGUGCGUAUGUUUUUGAGUGGUGUUCCGUUUCCUUUCAUAGUUUCAUUUUUCCGCCCCGGCAACUGACCGCCAGGCCGACAAAACCCAUCACGUGACCCAAGGCUUAGGGCUUAUUUAACAGGUCCUUGCAGUGCCCCAUCCGCCGUACCAUGCCGUACCUUUCUCGCCACGAAGGGGUAGGCCUGAGCAACCAUGGCGUACUGCGGGUCGCCAGCCAGGGCAAUACCUUCCAGAGUCGCCACACUGUCGUACGCAUCCGUACAAAGACAGAGUGCCAAGGGAGAAGAGCCGUACAACAAUCGCCCCGAGGAGUUGCCCGUACGAACGAAUGCGGGGGACAAGGGCGGGGGAAGGGUGUGCCGGGAAACCCGUGAGCGCAAAGCCGUGGGGUGGUCAAGAAAUAUGUACCAUUUUGUUACCCAACUUCUAGCCUCCAACCGGAGAUCCCAACCGAACCUCCCAACUCCCAGCCCAAACCUGGCACAAGACCCCAAACCCUAAAACUCCACCGUCCCUCCCCCUCCCCCUCUUCCUCCAGCCAGCCAGCCAGCCAGCCAGCCGAAGCCCCGCCAAAGCGCCCACUUCCCCCUCCCCACCUCCUGGCCAGCAGGCUCAUGUACGGCGGUACGGAAAACGGUAUCUCCAGGGUAGCUGCCAGCAGGUCCUGACUAAGUGCGGAGAAGUUGAAUGCCGCUGCGCCCCCACCGCGCAGGUAGGGGGACAGAACCUGAUCAAGGGGGGGUUGGGUGGGGGUGUCGGGGGAAUGGGGGGUUCGGGGGAAUUGGGGGGUGCUGCUAGAUUCGUGUACCGCCGGCGGUGGUUGUGGUGGUUGUGGUUGUGUACAGAGCGGUUAGGGAUCCUUGUGUCCGUGACGUCGCCGUCCGGGCAGUAUCCCUGGCACCAGGCCCCCCAUCCCACAACCACUACGUCCCCACGUCCACAACGACCCAACGCACCAUAUAUCGUACUUCCUCGCACCCCGCGUGUCUGCCCUUUCCCUCGCCCACCAUUUCCCCUCCCACCUGGCCCCCCAAAACACACACACACAUAUGCACACACACACCCCGUGCCCCCUCUGGCCCAAGCCCAAGCCUCACUCGGUCCAUGACGGGUAUUAUGAGGGCCCUAUCCGGAUUGGGCGGCAGGAAGCCCAGCUCCACGAAGUCGUCCACGAGUGCGGACCAGUCCCGGUUGUCCAGGUGGAUGGUGGCGGCGACCAUGCCCUUGGGGGGGGGGUAGAGGGGGGGGCAGGACGGUAGGAGCGGGCCGACGGCAGUGACAUGCGAAAAGGUGGCGGAGGGGGGGGGAAAGACGAACCACGUGAACGAGUGAAGCUGCUGCCUGCCAAAGAAAGAGAAGCAGAACUGACCAGUAGGCGGUUAUGAGCCAGAGGCGCGGGGUUUGUGUGUGUAUGGAGGGGGAGAAAGGGGGCAGGGCCUGACACAACUUUUCAUGGCUUGGGUUUUGCCUGCUUGGUAGUUCGUCGUUGAGGAGGGGCGUAGUGCGGACAGCUUUUGGUUGUAGGGUUCAGCUUUUUUGGGCUUAAGGCGCCGGUAGGGCGGCACCCCUCAUCGCGGGGAGGAGGGGAACCCAGGGCGCUGGAAGUGCACGCCUGGGGCCUCGCAUGCCUAGAUAUGCGGAUGAAAGUAUGCUCAUUUUCAUCUGCACCAGCUCUGUGUGGUGUGCAAGGGCCCUAGGGUGCGCAGCCGCGGCGGCUGCUCCAGGCGCCGGCUGCUGCCUGGGCGGAACUGUGCCUGUGCCUGUGCCGCAGCGCGUGCUGAGGUUGGUUGGUCGUUUGAGGGCCUUGGUAGCCACUGCGCUCUUCGCUUUCCUCCUCGAGGGGGGAAUUGCGGUGGGGGGGGUGUGCACGUCCUCGAUCGCGCAGGAGGGGAUAGUGGCCCCCCUCACGCCCCUACUCCCUGCCAACAAGGAGGAGAGAGUGCUUCGGCACAGUCGUUCGUUCCCGCUGGGGUAUACGGUUAGAGAUGCCGCUGGCCAGUGUCAGGCCCCCGGAUAGGUGUGUGUAACAAAUACACACACACACGGGGAGGAGAGGAGAGCGGAGCUAGUGGACCUGCGGCUCUUGGCUAUACUUAGGAGGAGUGGGCAGAGGCCUCACUCCCGUCCGCGGGAGAGAGAUUUCCGUUGGGGCUGGGCAGCAGCCCCUGGCCAGUGCCAGGCCCGGUCAGAUACUUGUCACGUUUACACACACACACAAACACACACACAAACACACACACACACACAAACAAACACACAACACACACAGACACACACACAGACACACACACAGACACACACAGACACACACAGACACACACAGACACACACAGACACACACAGACNNNNNNNNNNNNNNNNNNNNNNNNNNNNNNNNNNNNNNNNNNNNNNNNNNGGGGGGGGGAGGGGGAGGUGGAAGGUGGAGGUGGAGGUGGAUGGGGAUGGGGGAUGGGGGAGGUGGUUGACUUUGUUCAAAUUGGCAUUAGGGGUCUUUUCACUUGGGGUUAUCGUCAAGGGGCGUUUCCUCAACACUCAACACUCAAUACACAUCACACAAAACUGCCCGCGUAAGUCCCCCAGACCCACCAUAUACCCAAAGCACAUACACCUAAGGCCACCCCCAUCCCGUGCCCCACCCCGUGGACCACCCCGCCAAAGAUAUACGGACCCAAAGUUAACACCUCCCCACCUGCACACAUACAAUGUCGUGUAUACAACACUCCCCCCUCUUCCCAGCCCGCCCCCCCCCGCGGACCCCACCUUGAGCAGAUUCCCCGGGUGCGGAUCGCCGUGGAAGAAACCAAUCUCCAGAAGCUGCGUCAGAAAGGCCUCCUGUCCUACCUGCGUACGGAGAAUUCGUACGGAAGUACGGCCACGACGGGACGAAAGUGUGCGAAUGAGAGCAGCGCACGAUUAGUAAAAACUAUAACGCACAAAACGCACAUACCUACGUACAAAAUUAAGUAAAUGAACACGCACGCUAGAAUUUUUGCUUUGGUCGUUAUUUGGCCGCCGCCCCAAGCAAGUGAUCAUCACCUAACAUAUUAUGCAGACACGGGUACGNNNNNNNNNNNNNNNNNNNNNNNNNNNNNNNNNNNNNNNNNNNNNNNNNNNNNNNNNNNNNNNNNNNNNNNNNNNNNNNNNNNNNNNNNNNNNNNNNNNNNNNNNNNNNNNNNNNNNNNNNNNNNNNNNNNNNNNNNNNNNNNNNNNNNNNNNNNNNNNNNNNNNNNNNNNNNNNNNNNNNNNNNNNNNNNNNNNNNNNNNNNNNNNNNNNNNNNNNNNNNNNNNNNNNNNNNNNNNNNNNNNNNNNNNNNNNNNNNNNNNNNNNNNNNNNNNNNNNNNNNNNNNNNNNNNNNNNNNNNNNNNNNNNNNNNNNNNNNNNNNNNNNNNNNNNNNNNNNNNNNNNNNNNNNNNNNNNNNNNNNNNNNNNNNNNNNNNNNNNNNNNNNNNNNNNNNNNNNNNNNNNNNNNNNNNNNNNNNNNNNNNNNNNNNNNNNNNNNNNNNNNNNNNNNNNNNNNNNNNNNNNNNNNNNNNNNNNNNNNNNNNNNNNNNNNNNNNNNNNNNNNNNNNNNNNNNNNNNNNNNNNNNNNNNNNNNNNNNNNNNNNNNNNNNNNNNNNNNNNNNNNNNNNNNNNNNNNNNNNNNNNNNNNNNNNNNNNNNNNNNNNNNNNNNNNNNNNNNNNNNNNNNNNNNNNNNNNNNNNNNNNNNNNNNNNNNNNNNNNNNNNNNNNNNNNNNNNNNNNNNNNNNNNNNNNNNGAAGGGGCACGGUGGUAUAAAAGGGGAGGAGGGGGAAAGGGGCGGCGUGCGUGAAGUGUGUUAUGUGUGUCCCAAGACCUCCUAUGUGUAUGUAUGUAUGUAUGUAUGUAUGUAUGUAUGUAUGUAUGUAUGUAUGUAUGUAUGUGAUGUGGUGUACGGCAUGGCUUAGGAGAGUGAGGUAGGCGAACCCCCCGUCGCAAUCCUAACAGGCCAGAGGGACGGGGUCCCCGUCCCCCUCCGCCCCCCAACCCACCUCCCAAAAAUGCCCCUCCCCCUCCCCUUCCUCCCUGGAGAGGACAAUCCCACCCAACCCCCAACCCACCUCACCGCCCUCCUUCCCUCCCAAUAAACACACACAAACAUAUAUACACAUAAACAUAUAUACUAUGUAUUAUACAUGAUACGUAUACACACAUAUACAUACAUGUGCAUAUAUAUACAUACAUACAUACAGGGACAUACAUACACAAGGGCAUAGACACUAGGGACACACACACACGCACCUCGGCCAUUCUCGCCGCAUUGAGCGCCUCGUUCCUGAAGUCCAUCUCCGUGUACAGCCCCUCGGCGAAUGUGGACAGCAGGCGCUGGUAGUCGGUGGUCUGCGCAGUGAACCGCUUCACGAGCUUCUCGUACACACCCACCGCACGACGCAUGACGUACAGGUCCUUUUGCGUGUUGGGGUUCAGGGGGAGGGGACGCGGAUUAUUGGGGGUGUUAAAUGUACUGCUACAACUACAACUACUGCUACUGCUACUGCUACUGCUGCUGCUACUGCUGCUGCCACUACUGCUGCUGCCACUGCUAGUAUUCACCUCACCUUGCUGAUGGUGGCGAGGGCCUGCGGUCGCUGCACCUUGACCGCCACCUCCUCGCCCGUGGACCGCAGUCGGGCUCGGUACACCUGGCCGGGGUGGGGGUGGGGGUGGGGUGGGGUGGAGGGGUUGGAGGCGGAGUGGGAAGAGGUGCAGGGGGUGGUGGUGGAGGGUGGAUGAUGUUGUUGAUGGUGGUGCGGCUGACCAGUGGGUGAGGAGGGAAGAAGAAAGGAAGCUGAGCGCGCGUGUGGGUGUGGGGGGGAUUGGUAUGCAAGAGCGUGGGUGUAACGUUUUCCCCCACCUCCCAUCAAUCCGCCCAGGGAUCGUCUCCUUGCUGGUGACACGCUCCUGUGUUUUUCCCCCCUUUCCCCCUCCUCCCCUCCCAUCGCCCCACCUUCACACACACAUACCNNNNNNNNNNNNNNNNNNNNNNNNNNNNNNNNNNNNNNNNNNNNNNNNNNNNNNNNNNNNNNNNNNNNNNNNNNNNNNNNNNNNNNNNNNNNNNNNNNNNNNNNNNNNNNNNNNNNNUAGGCAGGUAGUGGUGGGCCACAUCUGUGCCACGGUUGUGUGUUUCGUUGUGGAAUCGUUACCCGUUGCCCUCUUUCUUGUUCCUGAUGCUAUGGAGGGUGGCUGGGGCUGGUUGGGGGAGGGGGGCGUGUAUGUUUCGCCUCCGCCAUUGACGUGCCUGCCCUAAUUGUCAUGUUCCCAUCCAUGUGCUGCACGUGCAGCAGGCCUCGGAAGAUGGGGCCAACGUCCAGCCGGGAAUGGAGGUAAGAUGGGGGCGAGGGUCGGGGCUCUUAUGUGUUUUACAUGGGGCAUCAAAACGCUGUCGUACUCCGAUAUGGCUAUCGGAGUACGGCAGAUUUGUUUGAUGUAGGCAGGUAGUGGUGGGCCACAUCUGUGCCACGGUUGUGUGUUUCGUUGUGGAAUCGUUACCCGUUGCCCUCUUUCUUGUUCCUGAUGCUAUGGAGGGUGGCUGGGGCUGGUUGGGGGAGGGGGGCGUGUAUGUUUCGCCUCCGCCAUUGACGUGCCUGCCCUAAUUGUCAUGUUCCCAUCCAUGUGCUGCACGUGCAGCAGGCCUCGGAAGAUGGGGCCGACGUCCAGCCGGGAAUGGAGGUAAGAUGGGGGCGAGGGUCGGGGCUCUUAUGUGUUUUACGUGGGGCAUCAAGACGCUGUCGUACUCCGAUAUGGCUAUCGGAGUACGGCAGAUUUGUUUGAUGUAGGCAGGUAGUGGUGGGCCACAUCUGUGCCACGGUUGUGUGUUUCGUUGUGGGAUCGUUACCCGUUGCCCUCUUUCUUGUUCCUGAUGCUAUGGAGGGUGGCUGGGGCUGGUUGGGGGNNNNNNNNNNNNNNNNNNNNNNNNNNNNNNNNNNNNNNNNNNNNNNNNNNUCAAAGAGAAAACCCUAAGUCCUCAUCUCCCCCCGCCCGCUUCCGCUUCUCCUCCCCUCCCCCAGGCACCCGUCUCAACCCCUCACCCCCUCACCCCGCCCCCCCUCAAGCCCCCCGGCCGAGGCCCCGCGGCCCCGCGGUAGGAGGUGUGUUCCGCGGAUCCAUAAAACACACCUCCUACCCCCCCUUUGCAUCGCAAGUGGACUCCCGAAUGCAGACAUACACACAUACAUACAGGAACAGCCGCCAGGCUCAGCGAACCUUAUGACAUACAACAUACAAACAUCCAAACACACACAUCUCCACUCGCCCCUCCCCACCUCCUCCCCACCUCCUCCCCACCUCAACCCCACCUCCUCCCCACCUCCUCCCCACCUCCCCCCACCGCAACCGACUCCACUCACCGAAUGCUGAGGAUCUGUCCCAGCUUUAUGAAGGUGGGUCCAAGCUUCUCCAAGUUGUCCACUGCCUCGCGGGCCAGAGCGGCUCGGUCCCUUUCCAGGCGGCCGGACAGAACCGCAUUGGCCAGCUUGGUCAGCCAGGGGGCUGCGGUGUGGGAGUGGAAGAGGGGAAUGGGAGUGGGUGUGGGAGAGGGUGUGGGUGUGGGUGUGGGAGAGGGUGUGGGUGUGGGUGUGGGAGAGGGAGAGGGGAAUGUGAAAGGGGUGUGAGGGGAGGGGGAGAGAAACGAAAACUUUACGGGGAAGCACUCUCUCCAUAUUGCCCCCUCCCUUCGUUACGCCACCAGGGGAGUUCCCUUCCCCCCCCAACCUUUUGGUGAUGAUUGCUCCGUCACUGCUUUCCACUGCUCCUGCUACGGCAGCUGGUACUUCCGGUGUGUCGACACAAAGCCGAUGCUUUGGGACUUUUGCUGCACCAUCAUAAUACAUUCCAUAUACUCACUUCACAUCCAUGUAUCCACCUUCACCUUCACCUUCUCGUUAUGCAGGCACGUACGUGACCCCCAUCACCCCCACCGACAGCACAGCCAUUCCUUCUUCUCCUUCCUCUUCUCCUUCCUCUUCUUCUUGUCUCCUUCUUAUUCUUGCAUGUAAUUCCCCUCUUCCCCCCUCUUUCUCCCCCCCCCCCGGGCCCCACUUUCCCUCCCAAACCCCGCACCCUACCCGACACGGCCGCGAACUUGGUCCACCUGCCCGCCAGCUCCCCCGGCCGCCCCCCCCAGUAGCCGGCGAUGCGCUCCUCGUUAUACACCAGCGGCAACCCGUCGGCGUCCACUUCGUCAGGGUCGAAGUCCGCAGCGUCCAGUCGGCGACGAGACACGUACGACACGCUCUGUGGCGCGGGGGGGGGAGAAAGCGGCAAAGGCAGGGUUGUGACGGCGGCGCUCGAGCCCUCGCGCGCGAGAGAAAUGAAAACUACUUGGCAUGGCGUUUUCUUACACAGGAUUGUGCGUAGUUACAUACGUGUAUAAGGGGGGAGAGAUGCGGAGAGAGAAUUCGUAGGGACGAAGCAUGAGAUGGUUCCAAAGCUGCGGUAAGACCGUGAUGUGAAGUGUGGAUGGACGACAGGCACAGGAGCUCUGACCGUCGUGUCGCCUAGCCCCUCACAGCAUUUUUCAUCUUCCCUCCCCAAAGGUCUGUCUCCUCCCAAAGCCAUGCAUAGUUCCAGAUUUACGGAAGGCGAUUUGGGUCGCGCUGGAGAUGGCGUCGCUCGCUGAGGAAGGUUUGGGGGCCGGUGCAAUGGAGCUGACUGCUGACUGGUAAGGAAACAGAGAGGAAAGGAGAGAGAGAUAACGAGGGACAGAGGGAGAGAAGCUGCUUGUGUCACGUCUCCCUCGACUCGCGCGGUGAAAGGUGGUUACAGGCGAGGGGAAGAGUGGGCGUCAGCCAUCCGUCAUUGUCUGACCAAUCCUCACCCGCACAUCGCGAAGCUGCAGGUCACGCAGCUCGGAGGAUUCAACGCCUAGGUCCUUAAGUUCGCGUAUGUCCUCAAGGCGGGUACUCAUGCCAGGGACUGGAAUGCCCCGUGUUCGCGUCGUGGUAGCUGAUGCCAUGACGCUCCGACGAGGUCCCCUCGCGGCUUGUGGCAAUGGUGCAGCAGCACCACGCAGCUCGGCAACAUGCGGGACAUAUAUUCCUAAGGUGGGAGCAUUUGCCAGCCGUGAAUACAUACUCAUAUGAGUACAACUUAACCGGGGAAGCAUACAAACUCCUUCCUAUGUUUUCUUUGCAAAGACGAUAAAACGAAAUAGGUUUGUAUUCAUAAUUGUCUAUGCUGAAGGUCACGGUGAUUACAUGGCGUCGAACAGUUUGUACGGUGAGACGAGUGGCUCUGGGUAAGUGCGAAGGCAACACCCAUCUAAAAGUCUGAAGCAAUGUGGCAACAUCUGUUAAGCAAUCUGUCUUUGACUUUACAUUUGUGGCCUUCCUUGGCGAACUCCUUAUUGCUGGGCUCUGCAACACACUAUCCGCCAACGACUCCGCUAAGGAAAGCAUCGCGCCUCGCUGCUCCAACGCCCAGGCAAAAUAACAACACAACAAACCGACCAUUGGACAAUUGGAAGUCGCUGGACGCGACUGAUAGGCGAUAAUGCUGCCACUUGACGGCAUUCUUGCAGAACCGCUCAUCAUGUUGAGCGCGACGACAUUUUCUGUUUUGCGCUUCAUCCGGCGGCCAUGCGCGACGCGCUAAAACACUAAGCGGAUCGUCUACCCGCACACGCGUUUGAUUCUGCACUUGGCGACAACUUUCUCGUUUGGGGCACCAGCUUACACUUUUGAGAAGUAUCAUGCAUGGCGAAUAAUUGGCCGGCAAACCCGCAGAACGACCUGCCCCUAUCCGUGAUUCGGCUGUCGGAAGGGUACCAGCGUUAUGGCGCAUAGCCGCAACCCACGCUAGCCGGAUGGCCACAACUUCCGGUGUAAUGUGUUGGUGAACCUGGUCGACCUCAUCUCCAUUAUCCCACUGAUGCGGGCGUCAGGCAGCCCCAAAGAGCCCCUUCGCCAUCGCUUUCAUAUGUGGCACUCUUCUCUCCUCCACAACCUCUCACACCUUUCCUUUCCAAAGAGCAAAACCACAAGCAGGCCCAAGCACAAUCAAUGCCUCGCCUUGUCGUCCGGCGGACUCCAGCUGUUAGACCUCCUGUAGGAUAUCCGCAGACGGCUCCAACCACAGUCCCACCAGUCGCCGUUACCCAGCAGCGCCUUUGCGACUCCACUGCUUCUCCUCAAUUUCGACCGCAACCUCAGCGACCUCUAUUUAGGAAGGGGCUGUGCCUCCCUCCCCCUCCUCACGUAUCAGCACCACACGUCUGUGGUUCUUCUUCCGCCCUCCUCCUCCUCUUCCUCCUCUGUUCUAAUCUAAUUACCUACUUUACCUCACCCAACAACACAAAGCCUCAAUAACAAUCGUUUUGCUAAAUAUAAACCCUGUCUUCCCAUUCCUUGGCAGCGCACAAACGCACAUGCGCACAUAUCGAGGCCCUCAGUUCAUCUGUACGCACUUCAAAAUUCAAAACUCCACCACCCGUAAUCGCAUCUUUAUUCACCGCCCCAUGGAUACUUCCCCCUCCAAACAUCAAAAUCGAUGCUCCUCCACAAAAAGCCCACAAGCCUUUUUACUCGGCGCGCCGGACAAUGAUCUGACCCACCAUCGCGUCAUGUCCCUUAACGGUGCAGCGCAGAGGGUACUUUCCGGGCUUCAUGGGAAUGAAGACCCAGGUAGCGGAGGCGCCCGCCUUCAGCGCCACCUCCUGAAUCCCUCCCUUGACCUCCACCGCCGGAUCUCCAGCUAGGACUAAGAUCGAGAAAACCUGGUGAAAUACAGCAGGGGAUUGUAUCACACGCGCGACCAGGGAACGCGACCGAGGGGGAGAGAUGGAGCCGCUUUUAGAGUCCCACCGGUAACCAGCGGCGCGGCGUGGUGAAAGCAUCAUCAGCAGCGGGUGAGUGCGGCAAGAGUGUGGAGUACGGCGAUAUAGCUAAGUGAAGGCGAGGUAUGACAAGAGCUAAGUUGGGUCAAGCGGUUAAAGCUUGUUUAGCAAGUAAUUGUGCUCUUUAAGGGGAGUACUAUAGAAAAAGCAAUAGAAUUAGGAAACUGCAAAAGGAGAAUAGUUGAGGAGGACAUGGGAGCCCAGCAAGGUGCAACGCGGGGGUACACGCGGGGCUGCAAAUGUCUAACUUAUUGGCCUCGAUGCCGUUUUCGCAGCAGCCAUCAGUUGCAAAGCCGCCUCCGGAGCGGUGAAACCUGUCUUUUGUACCUUUUCCGCAAAUUCAAAAGCGGUAAAGUAGUGUGUGGAAGUUGACGGGUUUCUGAGCUUGAGCUUGCAGAUCCUGCCCGCGGUGAACUCCAAAGUGUUGGGGAUAAAUACGUAUUGACCGUCUUCCGUGCCGAGCUGUACGGCAACCUCCUCGAUGGGAGCGUUGGGGUCAAGGUUGUAGUCUUUCAGAGCUGCCCAUGCUGAGCUCGGCGCAACCAUCUCGACGAUACCGGUCGCCGUCAAGGCCAGGGUGCUACCAGCCAGCAAUCCGAGCGUCUGGCGGCGACUCUUGGCUUCACCACUUAAUGGAACAGAGUCGCGCUUCACCUCGGGAGUAGGGGUCGAAAGGGCAUCCCCUCCGAGGCCCGCACACGGUUGUGCGGGAAACGGACGUUGAUAAGUGAAACGUAAACUACAAGAGGAACUAUGGAAUGACCGGCUGUUGUAGAUCCUGCGGCAUUGUUGGAUGCGGGCACGACCGCUGACUGCUUGCAUGCUUACAGCUUAUGGAGACAACGAGGAAAGUUGCCCUGAAGAGCAAUCAAAACAGACGUUUGCUCUGAAAAUUUAGGAAUACCCAUAACGGCAUGGGUGCGUGCAUGAAACGAUGAAGAAAUGUCUCGGAAAUGUACGGUGGCAGUUGCUUGUUCCGAAACUAAUCAAAAAGGUCUAGUAUGUCACGUCGUCGAUUAAAACGUUUCUGGUGUACAUGCAGCAUCCCAAAUCUAUUCUCAGAUUAGGCCAUUUGGCCUAAAUCGACCUUGUGCACAAUCUGCAAGUAAAUUCUGCGCAGGACGACAACUUGCUCCGUUGAUGUCGUGACUAUGUAUGGUCGCUUGAUCAUGCUUAUCCUUGUGUCCAACUGUCCAAGGCAGCAUAACGCGUCAAUCCCCUAAGGAGCAGAUCCAGCAGUUAGCCGCACAUUAACCUAAAGUAUUCAAUUGAAUGUUGGGGAUACUAAGUAGUAUCUUCCAACAGCCAAACGAACUGGACCCAUCGGACAUGCAGGGGCCCACGGGCCAGUUUGCUUCGCAAAUUUCAAGGGCGCUUGUGGUAAUCAUUAUACGCCUCCGGCAUAAUAAAGAAAAUGCUGCUAAGAAAACCUGCUUCAGUCGAAAGCAAAUUUGAAAAGGUUACCAGCAGGGCCAUAAAGCAACACCUUUGACCGGGAACGUCACCUCCUCGGGCCUGAGACGCACACUCGCAGCACGUGCGGCUGCGGCGUUAUCCCGCUCAUAAGACAUAAGAAAUAUCCUCUUGGCCCUCCUCUUGCCUGACAACCCUCCCGCAUAUCAGAACAUGCCCACCUAGAGGACACCUUGCUGUGAACUGUUUGCGUGAAGGCCCUAAAAGGCGCACAAGUUUCCUCCCUGAUCUCCACCAACUUGCCUGCCGCGAGAACGGCUCACCAUAUUUCUUGCCCGCCUAGCUGCUCCUCCAGACAUCCUCGGUAAAAAAAAACAAAUUCCCUCUUCCAAACGCGCUUCCUUCCCUACGAACCAGCAAGUUCGCGAAGGGUUCUCUUUUGCGUCCUAUUCACCACGCCUUCCGCGCCUCGUUCCCCUUGAGGAAAACAACCGCAACUGAGUCAACCUACCCCUAUAAACCCCUACCCCCCGUGGGAUUUCCAUUAAGUGCCAAUACGCGCUUCGCCUUCCCCCUCGCGUAAACCGCCGCUGGCGACGUCUCUACGCUGCUCAUAGGUUGAGGGCGCCGACAGCGCUAUCGCCCUACCCCGGCAGACAGCCAACCCCUCACCUCACCUCACCUCACCUCACCCGCCAUGGGUCUCAUCACAGCAACCCUGAUCGGCAUCUCCCUCUUCGUCACCAGCCCCAUCUGGCUGCCGCUGGUGUUGGCUGCCGUGGUGUUCCCCCACUUCGUGCCCUUCGUGCUGGGCGGUCUGGCCGUGCUGACGUCCCCGGUGUGGAUUCCGCUGUCCAUCAUCGCCAUCCCGAUCAUCAUCGUCACCAGCCCGAUUUGGGGAACCCUGCUGCUGCUGGCCAUCAUCAUCUGACAAGAGAAGAGAUAAAAAUAAACCAGAGCCGCUGUGAGAGUGUGCGGGUGGCGGUGCCCGUGGGCGGUAGUGCUCGCUGGCGGUUCUGUAGGGGUAAUAGUGUGGGGGUGGAGUGGGGUUGUAAGGUGGCAGUGGCGAGUUGGAAGGUGGUGGGGGGAGGGGGGAGGGGGUAGUGCAGUUCACGAUGGCGAUGUGGGUGAUGGUGGAGGGUUGAUAUGGGUGUGUGGAGGGGGCGGAAGGACGCUUUGCGCUACAGGCAUUUGCCGAGGCAUCUGAGAUUAUUUAUAUAUACGAGGCAUCAUGCAGAAGAUGAUGGGCGUAAAAAAGGCGGCCUGCUUCCACCGGGCGGAGGCAUUCCUAGUUGCUUGAGUGUCUGCUACCGGGAUUGACCAGUCCAAGCUCCAGUCGUACGACUCCGUUAGACCCAACCACCACCCGCCUGCUAGCCCCCGGGGCCUGCUGAAUCCCGAAAUGGCGAGGGACUCGCAUAACGUGCCACGCACGACUGGUGAGAUGAACUGUUGGGGAUUCGGGACCUGGGUGCGGUUCUCCGACCACUCCUCAAUAUUGUGUUGUUUUCUGGCGACUGUGCAGGCAGCUCUGCUCCGCACGCCAAGAUGUGCCUCGGGGUUGUGCCAAGAUCCUGUGUGACGAUUAAUGAGGAGGGAGGAGAGAGGGGAAAGGAUGGGCUGGUGCAGUGGCGUGUGUGUAUGUGUGUGUAUUUGUGUGUGGGGGGGAAACUGUAUAACUCUUGAAAGGUGUGGAGGUGGGCCCGGGUUACCGUCAUCAUGGCUGGUUUGCUGACUGACGUUUUUCGAUUAUUCUUGUCCUUGUUGCAGAACAGAUGAACGCAAACCUCGAAGGGAGGCCUUCCCUCCCCCUCGGGGGGCGAUACAUUGUGGCCCUGGACGUUUCAGUUUACCGUUGACGUUUUGGACCGGAAAACCCGUUGUGCUAUAUCCCGUACAAAACACGCGUGGGCCGUACCCAUUAAGGAAAGUUACGGCGGUAUGAUGUAGAUGGUCUGACGCAAUGUCCGUUUCGAUCAGGAGAGAGAGCUGUAAAUCGCUGUUGUCGCAACUUUUGUGAGGGUGUCCGUGAAUAUGUGGCGAUUACGAGGCGAGUCCCGUUCCGUUAGGCGGGGACUGUGAGUGUGGUGGUCGACAGGUGGCAGACGGGCGUUACUUGCUAGGGGGGGCCCCCCGGGGAAAUAUACCCUGUGCCGGGCCGAAUAGAAAACGUACUCCACCUUCACCUUCACCACCUACAUUAAAUCGGCAAUCGCAAUCACAGUAGUAGUGCAUUAGAGAUGGCCUUUGCCUAAAGAACCCAACCGUUUGUUCUCGGAGCUGCAUGAACAUCAACACGCACCCCGCGCGCAUAAAACAUUGAGACAACUGCUGCUGCUCAGAACCUUAUUUUUUCAGGAAAGCAACCAAUUACCCGCCAACUAACCAACCAACUAACUAUCCAACUAAUCCAGCUAACGCGCAAUUGAAACGAGGACCGCACGCUGACGGUACCCAAGAUAGGUAAGCAUACAUACAUAAGUGCAGCUAUCCUAUACUACACACCGUACAGUGCCAGUAGUAGGGGGGAACACCACCACGCCGUUAGGCAAUUCAUCCAGCAGGAUGAUUCCCCCCCCGGAGGAGGAGGAGGAGGAGGAGAGGGAUAGGGCCUCGUAGCCACUGCCGCGCGGCACGAACACAAUGGCGGUGAAUGGCUCUUUUACUUAGCGCUGUCGCUCUGUCCGCUCGUUCUCGUCUGCUGCUGCUAGGCGACAACAUCAACAACAACAACAACAACACAACUACAGUCCUGCCACACGCACAGCCACACACCGUCACACACACACACGUGCAUGGACAGACGCCUUUCCGUCGCCCCCGACAGCUCAAGGUGCUCAUUCAUUCCACAGCGGCACUGCAAAGCAAGCAGAGAGCAGCACCCGACCCAAGAAUGAUAAUGCAAUUCGCUGCUGUCUCCUUGCACCUCACCAGCUAUUAUUAUACCUCUUGGAUCUUGGAUUGUGCUAAAACUGGACAACCUCAAAAGGCAAAACAAGACCGUAGUACGGCACCCCUCUUAAUACAUUCCGUGAUUUAUCCUGACUGGGAUAUACAUAUAUACUCACAUCCAACUUUCCGGGACUUUCCAACGUCGCCAAAUUAGGAAAUGGCUUCUACCGCAACACUGAUGCCGAUGAGGCGGCAACACCUGCUGGGAAGUCGACGACGAACAUUACAUUCUUCUAGCAUUGAUGCGCCACGCUUGGCAACUUUUAUUGCAAUGAAGAGCGUUUUCGUUUAUUGAGCGACUUAUGAUAAAAAAAUCCUCGAUGCGCAGUGCAGUGCAGCCUCACACAUGCGCGCUGAUGCGAUGAAUCAGGUCGGGGGCCCGAACACCGCCAGAAAGGCCCGUAGAAGGCGAAGAACAUGCUUCUGCAACCAUGAGGGGUUGCGAGCUGGCUCCAGUAAAACACACACCACACCACACCACACCACACCACACCACACCACGCUCUCCUCCUACGCCUCAUCCUCCUGCUGCUGCUGCUGCUGCCGCUUCUGCUGCUGUUCUUCCUCCUCCACCACCACACCCCAGACUCCAACAGCUAGGCCAACAUGUGCAAACGCACACAAACCCACAACACACAUACGCACACAUACGCACACACACAAAACACACACACACACGAUUUUCUUUUCCCCUGGUAUUCCCCACAUCCACCCGCCGUUUCGGGGAUGAGGCCCAUCACAGGCUGUGGGGUCGCCCUAAAACGCCACCAUCCCACACGCGGCAAAGGUAGAGCACUUAUCCCGGAGGUCCUCCCUUCGGCGUCAGGUUAUAGGUUGGCUUCUUCGCCUCCAUCCAGGAGGGUUGUGUGUAUGUAUGUGUGUUGUUGCGUGUGUGUGUAUGUGUGUGUGGCCACUAGCCUCCCCGCCACUGCCCUUGCGACUCCGUCGAGAGCAUACAAGACGCACGCAGACAUACACACACACAAACACACACACCCCUUCCAACCCCCCAAACUUGCACUCACCCACUCAAAUCGCACUUACAUAUGUACAUACAUACACGUUGCGAUACGACAGAUAUGCAAAGGCGCGGCAUAGUAUGUCGCUGCACAGAUUCAAAUGGAUCUCGACAGAGGCCGGGAGAAAACCCUCCCUCAGCAGUACGGGGGUAUUAGUUGCACCGGGGGCCCUGCUGGCGGACGGUGGUGUUGAAGACCUGCUAGCCGACCGGGAGUGUGUGUACUUCACACACCAUACACACAUACAUACAUACGGUGUACACAAGCACAGACAGCACCGCGAUGCGCUCACUGGCCUCACAUGCAUUCAAAAUUGGUUUUUGGCCAAGCCUUGCCCGGCUGUCUUGGCUCGCUAGCGCAAAAUCAAAUGAAGAUUCGCAACGCUUAUUAUCAAUUCUCUCCAAAAAAGGACAAGCACCCAUUCCAACAGGUUGUUAUUGGUAUCAAGGGUUAGCACAAGGGCACAAACCGUCCACCUCUUCCCCUCCCAAGCACCGAUUCCGCAGCAGCUCCUCCGUUCAGCUGCUCUGCCGGCGGACAUCCCAUCCUCCCACUAUUAUUUAGGUUCUCGGACAAGAGCUUGGACAAGGGGUUCACACGAUUAUACCUUUUAUCUUUAUUUAGGACAAUGAUACUACAGUGAUACAAUGAUAAUAUAACAUAAUAUAAAUAUAAUAUAACAAUAACAUUGCGAAUCAAGUGGCAAUGCAAACAGCACGGGGCGCGACUGCGACAAAGAUCCUCUCGUCCCUUCGCUUUUCCAAAAUCUGCCUUUUUCUUCUACCCGGUCUCAGCUGAUUCUCAGCCCGCUCCUGAUCGGAUACGACAGCGUGUGGAUGGAUGUGUAGAGCCUCCAAAUCAACAGCAACAACAGGAACAGACGGACGUAGAGCCGCGCGCCUGCCCCUGCGCUGUGUUUCGGCCCCCGGUCCGGGGGCCCCCGACGGUGCUCUCGGUCCUUUAUCGGGACGAGAGCCGCCCACAGUGUAGCACCCCUUCAUCAACAACAAACAGCAUCAACAAGAGCAACAACGGAAAAAGUGAUAAGCGGAUACUUGCCGCCACCCCCACCCACACGGCACCUUGGCACUGCCAAGUGUUCUUCAACAUCCUCCUCCUCCUCCACCUCUUGCUCCUCCUGCUCCACCUCCUCCACCUCUUGCUCCUCCUGCUUUUCACGGAACGCCGAGGUGCCGGUGCCCAGUCGAUGGCAGUGCAAGGGGGCUUCCCAAAGGGGGACAUGUCGCCCUCUUCCCUCCCCGCCCUCCCGAUCACCGACGGAGGAAAAGAAAAAACACGCAGAGACGCACUCGCUGGGCCCCUCGCGCCAUUCGUCCAUAUCGUGCCAUGGUGCGUCAUGGUCGUGUGGUUAGUUCUUUAGUUUUGUUAGGAAAGCACAAAAACAUGAUCUACAUGUGUCGUACACGCACCCUGACUCGUGUCGUGCGGCGUGUGCAUGUAUACGGCAUGUAUGUACGUAUGUAUGUAUCAUGUAUGUACGUGUGUAUGUGUGUUACCAAAACCCGUUUGCCGUCUUGAGUGAGCAAAAAGGGCCAACCGGGUAACCGUCCCGACCAAUUCAGGGGGGUUCAACCGUUCGGUCAAGAGCAAGAUCCGAAACCAUAUACACAUCAACGGAAUGUACGUCAUCAUUCUGGUCCUAACACAACACAUACAUACAUGCAUGCAUGCAUGACGAAUGUAUGCAUGAGGAAUGCACAUACAUAUGUAUAAAUUUACAUACAUACGUACAUGUACGCACAUAUAUUUCGAGCGAUGCACCAUCAUCAUCAUCAUCAUCAUCAUCAUGUACUCGCGCUGCGCUUUGGCUUGCGGGAUAAUACGGCUAGGAGAGGGCCGGGCGCCUCCACCUCCCACCAGGCAGAGAUUCACAAGUGACCCGGGGGGUGGAAGGAGCCGCGGGGGGGGGGAUUCCAAAGCAAAACACACCCACACGACGCAACACGACGCAACACACCCACGUCGCCUGCCUUCCUUACCGUUGUGUGGCCGCGACAGCCCAUCGGCGCAUCAGCGCCCCUCGACAAAUGAACCUGUUUAAAAACCCUAAACCCCUAAACCCUAAGCCAUCUCAUAUUAUUGUUAGCGACUCGCGGCGGCCUGAAGAGGAGGGGACUUGAGGGCGGCGGCGGCAGCAUCAGGAGCAUGCGAAUGCGGAUGCUACGUGAGAUCUCCUCGGUUAGAUCUCUUUUCCCCCCCCCCCGCCCCCCCGGGGCCCCCCCCGCCCUCAGCGAUGUGUUUUGAUGGCCCUCCCAAGGUUCUGAGCUCCUUAGAUGUCAGGGCCGCUUUCCCUCGGAUCAAAGCCACUACCACUGCCGUACCCUACCGGCGACGGAGCCCCCCCCGCGGAGGACGACGAUGGUGGUGGUGGUGGUCGUCGCCGAGAAGCUCCAACCACGGUCCAUAUCUCUCCCCCCCUUUCCUCCUCCUCCUCCUCCUCCUCCGACCCUUCCCCGCUCCUCUUGCACACACCCUCGUGCUCAACCAGCUUUCCGCCGUCCGGAAAGACCCGUCUACACUGCCGUACUGUCAGUACCACGCGCACCGUCUCCAAUGCCGGCGCCGCUGCCACAACGGCUCCCGACAGCUGCUGCUCCGCCGAGGCUGCCGCCGAGGCUGCCGCCGCCGCCGCCGCCACCAUCACCCUCGUUAGCGACGGACGCAAGCUGAAGGCCAUCCGCCACCGCCGCCGCCGCCGAAGCCGCCGAAGCCGUACCACCACUGCCACCACCGUCAGAGCCCAGAGCCGCCCGCAGACCCAUCAUGGAGCUGAAAAUGGCGGCUGUGGAGGCGCGACGAGCGCGGUGGGUGCGGAGGGCGCCGGCGGAUGACCGCUUCAUGGCGGGGGAGCCGGCGGCGCCGCCGACGGCCUCCACAGCCGCGGCGGCGGCAGCUGCUGCCGCUGCCCGGGGGCCGCUGUUGGCCCGCAUCCCCAUGCCGUACUCCAGCGCCCGCCCGCUUGUCCGCUCCUCGUCCCCGAGCCCCCCACCCACCCAGCGGAAGGUACUCAUGACGCCGAUGCCCUUCACCUGAGGACGGGAAAGGAGGACGUGAAUGUAUGAUGUGUGAAAGAGGGGGGUGUAUCUUCGCCCGUGGCAGCUACCCUGCGAAACCCUGCCUUCCCCGCGGGUAUUUCAGGGCACCCUCAUCCAGUCACCCUAGUCAACUUCUCAAUGGAACGCUCAGGUUCCGCACCCACCACCAGCAUCCAUCGGAAUCUGCCGGGUCGACAGCGGCGCAACUCCAUUCCUGGUUGGCUCGCAGGAUAACUUUAUCCCAGGUCACCACCGUCCAUCAACUAGGGGCGCAAUGCCUUCCACCAUCGGAAGGACUUUGACCCUAAUGGGUAUCGAUCCCGGGAUCUCCCGGGGGCAAUGGUCGCGCCUUACCAGUAGUGCCAAACCCUAUGUAUGUAUGCAUGUACGUAUGUGUGUGUUUUUAAGGUCUGAGCCUCGAUUAGGGAAAUACUGAUGGACCCACCUCUAUCGCAUACAUACAUACACACACCACCCCCCUACCUGCACCCCCCCCGUGGGCUCCCACUCCUCCUCGGGUAGUAGCGCCCGGGUGGCCGCGCUGACGUGUAUGGCCCCCGGGGUGCACGUGCUCUCCAUGCGGCUAGCAGUAUUCUGACGGGGUGAUGAGGGGGGUGGUGGGGGGUGGUGGGGGGUGAUGAGGGGUGAUGAGGGGUGAUGGGGGGUGAUGGGGGGUGNNNNNNNNNNNNNNNNNNNNNNNNNNNNNNNNNNNNNNNNNNNNNNNNNNNAGGGGUGGGAGGGGGGUGAUGAGGGGGGAAGGUGGACGACGAUAACACCAGCAGACGGCGGGUGUAGGACCAACAGCGGCCACUGCGGGACCCCUCGGGAAGACUGUGUGGAUGGAUGAGAGGGGGGGACAGUGUGUGGUGUGUGGGGGGACAAGGCGCCCCUCCAACUCGCAACUGGAGCAGAGUGCUUCGGCGGUAUCCCUGUGAUGUGUGCGGUGCGGUUAGGUGCGGCAACUCCUUUGAUAUCUCUCUAUCAGCGUUUUGGACAUUACAUUACGAGUUGAAAGGAGAGCUGGCCCCAUGCCCCGGUCAGUGUCGGCCAGGCAGAUGUAUAACAAAUACAUACACAAAUACACACAUACGUGCACACAUACAUACACACAUGCAUACAUUCAUACAUACACAAGUACACACAAGUACACACAAGUACACACAAGUACACACAAGUACACACAAACAUACAGACACUAUCCGUACUCCUUACCACGGUGUCCCCGAACAGACAGAACCGCGGCAUCUUGGCCCCCACAAUGCCGCUCAUGACGGCGCCCGAGUGGAGACCGAUCCUCAUCUCAACGGGGCGCCGCGUGGUGGGCAGCAACACCCGGGAAGCCUCGCGAAGCAUGGCCUGAUCAGGAAAUACACAAGACGUACAUACAUACGCACAUACAUACAUACACACAUACAUACAUACACACAUGCAUACACACAUUCAGUUCAAUUAAAAAGCACCGCGCGAUGGACAGAUGGCAUUUCAUGCGCACGCUCAAGGAAGGGUGGGAUAUUUUCGCGCGCGCACGCACGCAGGGUAUUUUCCAAUGUUUAUUAAACUCUUAUACCUUCCAAUUCAUGCAUAUGUUUUUGCCAUCAUCCCUGGUUGGAUAUACGCAAACCAGUUUCCCUUCUGAGUACUCUUGAGACUGUUACACUCAUGUUCUUUAAACUGCACCUCCGGUAUAUAAUACCGGAACGGCUCACUGCUACUGCUGCUACCGCUGCUGCAGCUGCAGCUGCUCCUGCUUCUUCUGCCGCUUCUAAGGAGGAAAUGUAGCGGCUCUCGAUAUACAUAUAACAUAUUCUCUUCGAUUCCCCCCCCCGUUUUCAACGUUGCGUGAUUGGCCAACGAUGUUCUCCGUCCCCUUCGGAUUGCCACCUCGAUUUAGGAACACACAUACAUACAUACAGACAGACAGACAACAUUGAACACAUAAUACGCACAUGACGCACACAUAGCAGGCGGCUGGCAGAGGUUAAGGCCUGACUUCUGCUCCCAGUCGACCCAGUCGACCCGGGUUCAAAUCCGCCUGCCGGCUCCUCGGGUGUUUGAGGAGUGAUGAAAUGGGAGGUGUCCCCCCAUCUUAUGGACGGUGUAGGACGUGAUAAUAUCAACUUGCGAGCUGACCAGGAACUAAGUUGAUGCGCCGUUGAUCCGCUAGAUUUGGUUGGAUGCUGGUGGUGAGUUGCCGAACCCAACGAAUACAUUCUGAAGUCGGAUGGGGUGACGGAUUAGGGUGCCCCUCUAGCAGGGGAGAGCAGGGACUGCCCCGGGAAAGGGGGCCGCUGGCGAAGUUAACCACCCUGUAACAACAUACAUAGCGUAUGUAUGUAUGCAUGUCUGUCUACCUUUGCAAAGGCCAUGACCUUGGCCGCAUGUAGCUCGUCCACGCUGUCCGGACCCCGUACGGCCAUGAAGCCAUCCGAAUCCCGGGUCAUAAGGCCCCCCGCCACCAUGUAACAGUCUGGAAAGUGUACGGGAGGGGAAACAAUGCAUACACAUAUACACGUACAUACACGCACAUCACGGUAUGGGAUGAAAUUGCGGAUUGGCGUGUGUGUAUGUGUGUAUGUGUGUGUAUGUGUGUAUGUGCAUGUGUGUGUGUUGUCAGGGACGACACCCAAGGAGAAUGAAGAACACGCUGCCCCCCUAGAUAUUUUUUUAAAUUUCAUCUAACAAUCUCAAAAAAGGCAUGAUGGCAUAAUAAGUAAGUACGCAGUAAGGCACGAAAAGUCUCUUUACCUUUCCACCGUGGCGUACGGCCGACCACGGCAGACAGGCAUGGACUGAGUUUGACUCGCGUCAGGUGGCCACCCCCCCCCCGCUUCCUCAACAUCAACAAUACACGCGACACGCCAGCCCCCCUCCCUCUUUACCGCGGCGGAUAUGUUUGUAUGUAUGCCCGAAUAUACCCGAGUGAACUUCCCCUUCCUACCACGCGUUUCACCCCUUCACCCCCCGCCCCCAUGCACUACACGUACGUGUGUGUAUGUGUACUACACACGCCGUACACAGGUGGUACAAGUCCCGCCUGAUGGCCACCUCUUUCCCCCCCCCCUCGGGGCUCUCACCGCCGAUGGUCUCCACUUUAUACACGCCGUACACAUCCAGCAGUGUGUCUGCCCAUACCAGAAAGAUGGAGGGGGGGAAAGGGAGUGAAGGGGAGUGAAGGGGAAAGGAGGAGAGGUAUGUCUGUCUAUCUGUCUGUCUGUCUGUCUGUCUGUCUGUCUGUCUGUCUGUCUGUCUGUCUGUCUGUCUGUCUGUCUGUACAAGUAGUGGGAUAAGACCACGGCAUCGCGCAAGGAUACAGCGCCCACGGGCAUAUCACGGUUACCGGUUGGCUGUCACAAAGCUUCCCCCUUCCCACCCUC
rnacentral:lncRNA from 1 species